UACGGAGGGGGCUAGCGUUGUUCGGAAUUACUGGGCGUAAAGCGCGUGUAGGCGGCUUAGAAAGUUAAAAGUGAAAUCCCAAGGCUUAACUUUGGAACAGCUUUUAAAACUCCUAAGCUAGAGUAGGAUAGAGGAUGGUGGAAUUCCUAGUGUAGAGGUGAAAUUCUUAGAUAUUAGGAGGAAUAUCGGUGGCGAAGGCGGCCAUCUGGGUCCUAACUGACGCUGAGACGCGAAAGCGUGGGGAGCAAACAGG
rnacentral:rRNA from 1 species